GCUGGCGGCAGGCCUAACACAUGCAAGUCGAACGGUAGCACAGAGGAGCUUGCUCCUUGGGUGACGAGUGGCGGACGGGUGAGUAAUGUCUGGGAAACUGCCCGAUGGAGGGGGAUAACUACUGGAAACGGUAGCUAAUGCCGCAAAAAAAAGCAAGACCAAAGAGGGGGACCUUCGGGCCUCUUGCCAUCGGAUGUGCCCAGAUGGGAUUAACUAGUAGGUGGGGUAACGGCUUACGUAGGCGACGAUCCCUAGCUGGUCUGAGAGGAUCCCAACCACACCGGAGCUCAGACACGGUCCAGACUCCUACGGGAGGCAGCAGUGGGGAAUAUUGCACAAUGGGCGCAAGCCUGAUGCAGCCAUCCGCGUGUAUAACAAGGCCUCCGGGUUGUAAAG
rnacentral:rRNA from 2 species